rnacentral:lncRNA from 1 species
ACGUAGUUAGUGGCAGUUUGUUUACGAUGGACGUUUGUGAUGAUGUCAUCAACAGGGUUUGUGUCACCUCAGUGAAGCUUUGGACUCGUUGGUAAAAAGUUUCCUCCUGACGAAGAAGGAGUUACGCCGCCUGACGAAGCAGCAUGGAGCAGACCUGGGUUGUCUUGACCCCAAACGGACGUUGAAGGGGCAGAUCUACUCCUCUGUGUAUCUCAUGAGGAAGCUGAAGAAGCAUCAGGAGCAGCUCUGUGAGACUCCGCCCCCCUCCUUCCCUUUUCAGCCCGUGUGCUCGUCCACUCCACGAACCCCCCCACAGUUUUCAGCUGAUCCUGGUGAGAUGAAGGAACUGAGGUCAACCAGAGAAGGAAGUGACAACGACUACAAACACACACUCACCUCUCACUUCCUCCCGCCUCUGAGCGAUGCUCGCACACACAUGGAUCAAAGCAGUCAGUCCAGCUGCUUCCCUGGUCCUGUACCCAGCACCACCAGGACCACCACCAGAACCAGAACCAGUAGCAGUAGCAGUAGCAGUACCACCAGCAGCAGUAGCAGGAGGAGGAGGAUCAUACCUGGAGAGAGGAGGAGCUCCAAAGUUCAAUCGCAAGACGGGAUCAUCUCUCCAGAACGGGACAGUGGCUUCAUUAGGUCAGAGAGCAGCCCCCUCCCCCCUACUCCUGUCCACCAGAUGGCGACAGAGAGUGUCCGAUUGUUCCGCUGUGAUUCCAUUGAGUCCAUCUCUGCUGAGGAAAGCUCCAGGAAUCCUCCGUCUGUUUUUCCCCCACCCACAAACUCCAGCACGGCUCAGCACAGCGUGGAGAAAAGUGGGAGGAGCCGCAGCCUCUACUGCUCGUCACCGCAGCGUGUCACAUGCAGCAGCAGCACAGCAGCAUCAGCAGCAUCAGCAGCAGUAAGAACAGUCAUUUCCCCUUUAAAGACCCUCAUUUAUC